UUAAGAUACAGGGUCUUGCUCUCUUGCCCAGCCUGGACUGCAGUGACAGGUCACUGUAGCCUCAAACUCCCGGGUUCAAGUGAUCCUCUUACUUCAGUUUCCCAAGUAGCUGAUAUUACAGGAAACUACAAGAAAGGACUUGGAUUUGCCUGCUCCUUCUGCCUCCUAUUGUCAUGCUUCUGAGGUAAAUAGCAUCUCUGGAGUCCAGCCAGGACCUUGGAUUUUGCUCAUGCUAGAAAUGCCCAGGGUGGUGCUUGGUCCACAGAAGGUGGAUUUGUUCAAGCUGUACUUCUGAAGACACAUGUGGGAUAAUUAACAAGAGGCAUUUCUGGGCAAGUUUGAGGAGCAUGGAAUUAACAGUCAUCAAUGCAUUGCUGGAUUUGAAAAUGAUUUAUAUCAAUCAGCAGAGGACCUCCACUGGUGAUGUCAGCAGGAUCUGAGGAUGUUCAGAAAUUGCCUCAGACAGGGAUUGAUGUCAGGAGGCUUCAAGGAGAGAAAUAUACAUGAAUGGGAGACCCCAGGUUGCAGGCAACAAGAGUCACAGGUAUGGGAGAAACCAGGAAGUCUGUGCCAUGUUAACUUUGCUCAUCUCAUCGUGCUUUGUACUCAGAUAAGAAUAUCAUCCAGAAACACAGCAUGUUACUUCUUGUAAGUGAGUCUUACUGUUCCACAAAAUAUACAAGUUUAAAAGCCAGAAUGGAAAUCAGACUACAACAAAUAAUUCAGCCAACUUCAAUAUUCAAGAAAACUGUAUAAAAAUAUGCCACAAUGUUAUUUCAAACAGAAAGGCAAGCCUCCGCUGAUGGGACUUCCUCCUUGAUGAGGCUGACUGCUCCUCACCAGACAGGCCUCAGGUUUCUGAAAUAUGAUACUUGAAGAAAACUGGACUGAGUCUAUUCAACAUUGUAUUUGAGAUUAAUUCCAACAAGCUUAAGAUAUGCCCAUUAGACAUUUUCUGGGAUGUUACUGCCUAAAAAAACUAAUAAUUGCAACACUAAAUAAUUCUUUACAAGGCUCGUAAAACCAAUCUGUAACUUUAGGCAUAGUAAAACAGUUAAACAUGCUAUACUAAAGACUGUUCUUAAAAAGCAUUUACUUCCUUGGCUGACCACGUGCUUGUGAAGCUAAGCAAACAACUUGACAGCCUCACUUAGGUGGAGAGAAGCUUCCUUGGCAAGAGCUGACCACAAUGCCAAGCCACACACAGGAGACUCUCCGAGUGCCCCAUUUGGGUUGGGCUUUGAAGCUGGCUUUAUACAGGGUCUCAACAAUCACGCAGAGACUUUUGGGUUUUAUUUACUUGUCAAAUAAAGCAAUAAAAAAGAGACUUUUGGUUUUGUUUGCCUUUCUGUCUUUCUAGUCUAUCUUUCAU
rnacentral:lncRNA from 1 species